rnacentral:ncRNA from 1 species
UAACAGACGAUAAUAGAGGACAGUACUCAUAUACAAAACCUUUUUAAGCGAUUCGAGGACGGUGUAAGCUCGAAAUGGUUAUCAUGAGGAAUAUCACCUUUUAGUUUUAUCCCUGAACCUAAAGUAAGGGAUACGUAGUACUUACGUUACGAGUGACUAAAGUGGGAGACAUUUGUUUUCUCAUUAGGGUGGUACCACGGGUAGUCUUCUCGUCCCUACU